CAUAAUUUAUGUCCAGAGUUUUUGUUAUUAUUAUGCUAAUUUGUGUUACCAUGGGAGUAAUGCUCUUGAACACUGUUGCUAUGGAAAUAUAAGACACUAGAGGUGUCAUGUCUUAAAGUGGAAAUGAGAUGCUACAGAUCAGCAUACAAAUUCCAUAAUAGAGAGAAUGUGUGUGUGUGUGUGUGUGUGUGUGUGUGUGUGUGUAUGUGCGUGUAGGAUGCUGCUGUACACUUAAUAUAUUAGGGGGAAGAUCUGGCUGCGGCACAGUUCUCAAGGAGAGGUGUAAACAGAACGCACAGCCAUCUGCACACACCGACCUCUCAACUAGCAACUACCACUGAAACACCCCCAUCUCUCAGAUUAACAGGAAAUUACAGCCUAAAGUCACUCGCAAUUGUCUUUGGAGAUAUGUUUGAAUUAGGAACUAUUCAUUUUGCAAGGGUUUAAAUAUGUACAAGCCUUUGUUAUCUUGACUAAACAUAUUAUGUACAUAUGCUGGUUUUCCGCAUGAUGUCUCAGUCGGCUAUUUAUUGCAUCAAAAAGGUACAAAGAAUACUUCUACUACCUUCUGGGAACCAAUACAUCCAUUUGGUCUAUCAGACAAAAGAACUUUUCAUACAUCAAUCUAUGUGACUAAAACUUUCCAAGCAUAAUAUUGUCACAUUUUUUGCACAGCAGAAAAAUCAAAACCGUGUAUUUAAAAUCUACGACCACGGCUGGCAAACAAAUGAAAGAGGUCAAUCUUUUCGUCUCCCAAUCAGUGCGUUGAGAUGAUGAGAUCACGCGGAGGUUCGUGCUUGCAGCUGCUAAUUGUUGCACACAAGCAUUGGGUCUGAUCUUCAACAACAGCAGCCAUUCAAAAGGUUCAUGACCAUGAUGAAUCCGAUGGCCGCGUCCGAGGAACAGUUUAAUUAACACGAUCUGGUGCAACAUCAGAUUAUCAAAUUCAGCAGAGACAUUCUUUCUUAAAUUUGUAUGUAUUCUUUAUACUUAUUGUAUUAAACUCUUUUCUCUUCUUA